rnacentral:rRNA from 1 species
GAUGAACGCUGGCGGCGUGCCUAAUACAUGCAAGUCGAGCGAACAGAUGAGGAGCUUGCUCCUCUGACGUUAGCGGCGGACGGGUGAGUAACACGUGGAUAACCUACCUAUAAGACUGGGAUAACUUCGGGAAACCGGAGCUAAUACCGGAUAAUAUAUUGAACCGCAUGGUUCAAUAGUGAAAGACGGUUUUGCUGUCACUUAUAGAUGGAUCGGCGCCGCAUUAGCUAGUUGGUAAGGUAACGGCUUACCAAGGCAACGAUGCGUAGCCGACCUGAGAGGGAGAACGGAGCCAAACCGCCGGAGAAGGGGCACAGGAGGGGAUCCGAGGCAGGAGGGGAGGAUAGUGCGGAGCACGCGGGAGGGAGAAAGAAGGGUGCCGAGUGCUAGAGCUUGGAUUUUGGGGGAAAAAAAAAUGUAGAAUGUGAUGUGCACUUCUUGACGGUACCUAAUAAAAAAGCCCCGGAAAACUACGUG